CGAAGACUGUGAGUACAUUGGAUUGCUUACAUAUCAUUGCUCAUACUUGGAUAUGGAUAACUAAUACCUGUUGGAGUGAUUAACAGCUUGUUGAGCGGCCCCAUCGUUGGAGGACGAGACGAGUGGGUGAGCCGAAGUAGAGCGUGGGUGAAUGGAUGUUAUUUGGCUGUGGCCACACCGUAAAGUUUGGAGCACUUACCGUGACAGCGACUGCAAACUCCUCCAGGACGAAAUCCGACCGGGCGUGGAGUACCGACCUUAAAAAUCACUGAAGUGUGUGUAGUGCAGUGGGUGAGUCUGUCUUUGACGUGUGUACACCAAAGCUUUGCAGUGCUGUGCCGUGUCCCUGUUGUCUGUACUCGCCCUCCAGGCCGAGAAAAGUUCCUGUUGGAGAGAACGUAGGCUGCCGUGGCGGUGCCCACCUAUCCCACCUAUGCCCGCCUAUAACUCCGUUCUCCGGACCCAGCUUGAAGGUGAAGCGCGAAAGCAAAACAAGGAGGUCUAUGGGAGUGGAGGAGCUGUCCAGACGCUGGAGAAGAGAAGGGCGCCACGGGAAAUCAAGCCGUUAAGGAAGGACUUAGGAUUAGUCAGGAGACUGGUGGAAGUUCUGGGAAAGGACGGAAGAGCCC
ensembl:lncRNA